rnacentral:sRNA from 2 species
GUCGUUCCUCGUUAGAAUGAGGCGUUUGCACAAACACAGGCUGCUACCCAGAAACGUCGAAAGACGCCAAUGCGGUCAACAGGUUCUGCCGGAUUAAGGCUUAACCUAAUGCAGCUGGCCCCAGGCCUACGUUGUGCUCUGCCAAAAUCCAACCAGAGGGGAAUUGG